rnacentral:ncRNA from 1 species
AGCUUCCGGGUCUGUGGUUGAAAGUCGAUGCCAGCCGCAGGCGAAACGACCCACGUAAGGCGACCGAACAAAAACACCCCUGACGGUCGCUGAGCAUGGUGCGGCUUAGUGUAAGUCCUGCCCGCCGCGGGUGCUGCUCUUACUAUAGGCGCGGGGACGAGACACCCCGACAUCAUUGCGGCGGAGAGGGCCGGCGUGGGAGAAAGAGGGGACUCCUGCAAAGGCUCCAGCAGGCGAGUGUGGGGGCAAAGACCAGGUCAGCCGGAAGCU